rnacentral:rRNA from 1 species
AGUCAACGCUGGCGGUAGGCCUAACACAUGCAAGUCGAACGGCAGCACAGUAAGAGCUUGCUCUUACGGGUGGCGAGUGGCGGACGGGUGAGGAAUACAUCGGAAUCUACUUUUUCGUGGGGGAUAACGUAGGGAAACUUACGCUAAUACCGCAUACGACCUACGGGUGAAAGCAGGGGAUCUUCGGACCUUGCGCGAUUGAAUGAGCCGAUGUCGGAUUAGCUAGUUGGCGGGGUAAAGGCCCACCAAGGCGACGAUCCGUAGCUGGUCUGAGAGGAUGAUCAGCCACACUGGAACUGAGACACGGUCCAGACUCCUACGGGAGGCAGCAGUGGGGAAUAUUGGACAAUGGGCGCAAGCCUGAUCCAGCCAUACCGCGUGGGUGGAGAAGGCCUUCGGGUUGUAAAGCCCUUUUGUUGGGAAAGAAAAGCAGCAGGUUAAUACCCCGCUGUUCUGACGGUACCCAAAGAAUAAGCACCGGCUAACUUCGUG